rnacentral:rRNA from 1 species
CCUACGGGAGGCAGCAGUGGGGGAUAUUGCACAAUGGGGGGAACCCUGAUGCAGCGACGCCGCGUGGGUGAAGAAGGGCCUCGGGGCGUAAAGCCCUGGCAGCAGGGAAGAAAAUGACGGUACCUGAAGAAGAAGCCACGGCUAACUACGGGCCAGCAGCCGCGGUAAUACGUAGGGGGAAAGCGUUAUCCGGAUUUACUGGGUGGACCGGGGGCGGAGCCGGCGAUGACAGCCCGUAGUGAAAGCCCGGGGCCCAACCCCGGGACUGCUCUUGGAACUGCGUGGCUGGAGUGCAGGAGGGGCAGGCGGAAUUCCUGGUGUAGCGGUGAAAUGCGUAGAUAUCAGGAGGAACACCGGUGGCGAAGGCGGCCUGCUGGACUGCAACUGCCGUUGCGGCCCGAAAGCGUGGGGAGCAAACAGGAUUAGAUACCCGAGUAGUC